AAUUAGAUAAUUCGCGCUACGCGACAUCCAUAUUUGAAUCGAACAGGAAGUAUCGGACCACAGUUUUCCGCGAACGGAAUCUCGAGAAUCGAGAAGUUUCGUCUCUCUUCGUUUCCGGUUUGUUGCGCGCGAUCAUUCCUGUCGAGAUGUUUCCGAGAAAUAAUUGUGAUUGAGUAUCCUAAAUAUCGAAGGAAUAGAUGAUAUAAAUAUACACUCAGCUACAAGUAAACGGGCAUAAUAUCAGGAAUGUAACAAAAAAAUAUCGAGGGUCAUUAUGUAGACAUUGUAAUUUACAUCGGUAGUGCAAAAGUGUGACGUCACAUUCGGUCAGGGUCAACUCUGCGGGACCCCCGAUACUCUUUGAACACCAUUAAAGACAGAUUGGCGGUCUACGCGAUCACGGAUAUGGAAAAAUAAACAUGGCGGAAAGGAAGGAUCUACAUCGAAAUAAUCGUGGAAUAAAGAUUCCUGGACUUUUCCAGCAGCUUUAUCGCGGGAAAAUGUUUCGCGCGGUUCCCCUGGCAGUUCUGGAAAUCCAUCGAUCCGGAAUCGCUCUACUCGCCUCCUCGCAAUUAUUAAUCCGACGAAGCGUGUCACGCGGCGCCGUCGCUCGGAGGAGACGGCGGAACUACACCACCUUGUUACGGAGCGAAAAGGAAAGUCUGGCACAAACUCGGAGCAUUAAUUCCCAGUCUCGGCGCGGUAAGGCGAGGCGAGGCGAGGCGAGGCGAGGCGAGGCGAGACGAGGCGAGACGAGGCGAGAUGAGGCGCGGCACGAGAUAGGGAGGAGAGGAGAGAAGAAGAGAUGAGGAAGGAAGAGGAGAGGAGAGGAGAGCGGAAGAGUGGAAAGGAGAGGAGAGACGCGAGAGACGACGCGACGCGGAGCAGAGCGAAGCGGCUUGGCGUGUCUAGACCGCGACGUAGCCACCGUUUGGCCCAGUUACGCCCUUCUUCCUCUCCUCCUCUCGUUCUUCAAACCCCACUCCAGCAUCUCCACCAGGUUCUCUCCUCGCGUUCUCCGUCGUCUCUCCUUAUACCUACCGCCACCACCGUCAUCACCACCACUACCAUCUAUGACCAUCGCACACCACCAUCAUCAUCAUCAUCUCGUCGCUAGUCUCGUAGUUCGCAGAGAGCCAUGAGCCACGGUGUGCGCACUCGGGCUCGUACACCGUCAGACAGAGUUUGUUAUUUAGGUAGAGCGUGCAUGGUCCGGAUGAGGCAAAGUUUCAGCUCCCAGGUCUUCCUCUCUUUAAUCCUUGCGCCCGCCGCGAUUACGUCAUGGUAGUAUAUCUAUAGAAUCUUUCCUUGCGUCUUCUCAUCACGUUGCACGAUGAGCUCGCUCUCUUUCUCUCUAGCUUACAAUUUCUAAUUACAUUCAGCGCUGUAUAAUACCAUGGGUAUUAAUCCCGAGUCAGCUUAUGAAUGGUAGAUCUCUUUCUCUCUAAUAAGGCCGUUUUAUUCAAUCAACGAAUCACCUGUAAAUGUCUCUUUUCAAAGUGCAAAUGAUGAUACAUCAAUCUUGAAAAUGAUACAUUUUUCCUUUACCCGAUAAGUAUUUGGAGAAAAUCCAUUGUCAAGGUCAAGGCAUUCGUUAUCGCGGUUCAUAUACGUAUCUAUCUAACUGUGAAACGGCUGCUUUAGGGUCGCUUAAAGCUGAUGGCAUCGACCGAAAAGAAGCUUUCCAGCAUUUCACUCGGAAUACAUUAUUCGAAAUAAUAAUAACAAUCAAAAUUGCAAUUCAUUUUUUCGCAUUCUCUCGCCGUUGACGUUGCAACAAAUUUUUUUCUCGCGUGUUAAAUUAAAGAAUUCGUUACGCAAACGUUAUACAAUUCUCGUUUACUGUACUUAAAUUCCCCUGGAACGUAAUUAUCACGGCGUAAUAAUAAAGUUCCCUGAAUAAAUAAUGACGAGAACGGAACAGGAAAACGCUGCUCUUCAUUACUCGGCUUCGAAGCAGAAAAUAGGAGACAAUGUGGCGCUUUAAAUCGCAGAGAAACACACACGGACGCACGACAAUAAGCUAAAAACAUCUUUAUAGCCGUCAGACACAAAAAUAGACGCGGCUACCAUCGGUUGUCGGUCUUAUGGUAUAAAAUGCAGAGAUAUCGCGGGAUGCAUUCUUAACACACCGGAAUCCUUCAAGAUGCAUGGCUUUAGACUCUCGGCUCUAGCAGCUAGACUCUCUGCAGGCAUGUUGGCAUGCGAGAUAUAAGCUGCCGAUUAAAGUGCCUAUUCGUUUGCAGUGUGCACGGCUCACUACCACCUUAGCAUGCACGUAGCGAGCACUCUCUCGAGGUACUCGACGAGUUGAAUUUUCGCACGACGAUUGCGAUAUCGAUGUCCAUUUUAGUAAUCAUGAGAACGAGACGCGCCACUCGGCCUGCCUGUGACGGCCAAAAAUUUCCAAGUCGCUGAGAGAAAUUAGCUAAUUGUUUAAUUAGACGACGUGGACGUAUUAUUGGAGACAAGGCUGCUCCCAAUAUCAUCUUUUGUCGUCUCGUCUGGUGCGCGAUGUCGUCUCGGGACGUUCCGGGACACGCUGACGAAAUAACACGGGAUGUCGCGGGAUCGGACGGCCGGCAGCAG